ACAGCAGCAAGUCCUGGUAAGGAACAUGGAACUAACAAGUUACCACCAAAUGAAAUAAUUUGGGAAAGGUCAGAAGGAGAGAGACGACACCAGCCCACAGGUCCUACAACCUCCCAGAGUCCUCCUCGCUGGAGUCCACCUUGGCUGAGCAACAUGUGCACCGCCAGGAAGCGCCCCGAGUCAGGAUGACUGGACAGACAACCCGGAGGGACCAGGCGCCACGCUUCCGAGCAGUGCUCCUGGGCCCGGGUGCCCCUUCCCAAUAGUCUCUGGCUUUGCCAGCACGCGGUCUCCUCGGACAAUUCAUUCACCAAAGGUUAGACAAGCGCCCACUCUCAGGCUCUGGAAGGGGUCCCCCUUCCUGCAACAGGAAGACGAGAGACACAGCCAGACCGGUGUGAAGACAAGACCAACACCAAGGGCAGUGGACAGCCCUAGAAGGUGGAUGAGGCAGCAAGAGCCUCCCCGGAGCCACAGAGUGGCCUGAUCUGACCUCCGACCUCCAGACUGUGAAGGGACUCGAGCCCCCAAGCCUGUGGCGUUUUUAGGCAGCCCUGGGAAAGGAACAGACCCUGAAAGCAAACAGGCCUGAGUCCAAGAGUUCAGAGUCCAUUGGAAAGGUGGCCGAGCAUGAUCAGCAUGAACAGGCCUAAGAUGGAGUCCUGGCCCUAUGAAUUCCUUCUUCAGCAGGUGACGUGACUCUAUCCACAGCAGAUGGCAGUGGAGCCAAAGUUCCCAUGGUGGGGGCAGGGGUACACCCUCACUGUGCAGGUCCUUCCCACCUCCUUAUUCACUUAUUCCAGACCAGUUCUGUCCUCUCCAGGCAAGGCGUCAAGGCAGGUCCUCAUGAGGGAUGGAUGCCACAGAGCGGAGGAACAGAGACAAGUGCUCUGAGUGGCGGGACUGGGAUUCCGUGUUGAGGACAUGCGUCCCACACAGAGGCAGCGAGGCUGUGGAACUGGGGGCAUCAGAGGCACACGGGCAUGAACUCAGUUUCAAUCCAAGUGGCUACAGACAGAGGUGCAUGGACAAACGUGUGUGUGCGCCCUCCCAUGUCCCUGAGCUCGUCCAGAGUCCCCUCCCACUGGAGGGCCCGAGGCUCCUCAGAGUGGCACGGGGACAGCAGAGCUCGGACACCUGUCAUCCAGAAAGGAGGGGGGCUCCCACUGGCCAAGGCCCAGAUGCUGGGGCAGGAGCAGGAAAUAGGACAUUGAAUGAAUGAACGAAUGGAGACUCCAGCAAGGAGUAAGACCUUUGGAGUCCACACAGCCAGAAACAAGCCACGUGGAAACUACAGCCUCCUGACAAGCAGUGCCAGGCAACGAUCCUUCACAGAG
ensembl:lncRNA